rnacentral:lncRNA from 1 species
UGACUACACUUUGCAUAUACCAGUGUCAUAUUUACUGAUAUUCUAAUAUUUUUAUUCUCUAAUUUCAAAGUAAGAUGCUACUCCUCAUUGCUGAUUUUACUAUACUCUAUUGCAGAAUCCAUAAAUGCCCAUAUCUUGCCUGAGACAUUAGCUGUAGCAUGCUGCAUCCCUAAUAUUCUUUUAUAAUCAUUAAGAUUAACGCUUUCCUGAAAAGUCUCUAUGAGUCCUAUAAAGCAAAAUUAAUAUCUCUUAUGCAUUGUAAUUAAUUUUGUAAAUGCUUUCUGAGUAUUGACAGAUCUUAUAUUCCAUAUCAAAGCAUUCAUCUUGAUUUUGAUUUUUUUGAAUUGCUCCUUGCCUGCAUUAUACUUCCUCUUGUAUUUUUUCUCUUCUUUUGUCAUUUCCCAUGUUAGGCACUUAACAUCUAUAUCUUCUAUGGAGACAAAUCAACUGCUUUUGUUACCUCUUUUAUAUUGUCCUCCAAGUCCUCAUCAUCUUUAUCUACUUUGUUAACAUCUGAAAAUUAAGUUUCUUUCCUGUAUCUAUUACAAGGGGAACUUUUCCUUCAUUACCAUGUCUUCUCUAUUUUUAUUCUAUUGUUCUACUAACAUCAAAUCCCCUUCGUUGUUAUAACUUUCAAUUUUGUUUGGCUGG